GCUCUCUGUGCUUCUGUCAUCA
rnacentral:miRNA from 1 species